rnacentral:rRNA from 1 species
GAUGAACGCUGGCGGCGUGCCUAAUACAUGCAAGUCGAGCGAAUGAAGAGGAGCUUGCUCCUCUGAUUUAGCGGCGGACGGGUGAGUAACACGUGGGUAAUCUGCCUGUAAGACGGGGAUAACUCCGGGAAACCGGGGCUAAUACCGGAUAAUAAGAAGAAACGCAUGUUUCUUUUUUGAAAGUCGGUUUCGGCUGACACUUACAGAUGAGCCCGCGGCGCAUUAGCUAGUUGGUGAGGUAACGGCUCACCAAGGCGACGAUGCGUAGCCGACCUGAGAGGGUGAUCGGCCACACUGGGACUGAGACACGGCCCAGACUCCUACGGGAGGCAGCAGUAGGGAAUCUUCGGCAAUGGGCGAAAGCCUGACCGAGCAACGCCGCGUGAGCGAUGAAGGCCUUCGGGUCGUAAAGCUCUGUUGUUAGAGAAGAACAAGUACGAGAGUAACUGCUCGUACCUUGACGGUACCUAACCAGAAAGCCACGGCUAACUACGUGCCAGCCGCCGCCGUAACAC